rnacentral:rRNA from 1 species
CCUACGUGGGACAGCAGUGAGGAAUAUUGGUCAAUGGUCGUAAGACUGAACCAGCCAAGUAGCGUGCAGGAUGAAGGCCCUAUGGGUCGUAAACCUCUUUUAUACGGGUAUAAAGUGCGGCACGUGUCCCGUUUUGUAUGUACCUUAUGAAUAAGGACCGGCUAAUUCCGUGCCAGCAGCCGCGGUAAUACGGAGGAUCCGCGCGUUAUCCGGUGUUAUUGGGUUUAAGGGGUGCGUAGGCGGCCUGUUAAGUGAGCGGUGAAAGUCUGUGGCUAAACCAUAGAAUUGCCGGUGAACCUGGGAGGAUUGAGUGUGUUUGAGGAAGGCGGAAUGCGUGGUGUAGCGGUGAACUGCUUAGAUAUCACGAAGAA